AUGUCUGCAUGGGCAGCAGGGGAAGGGGAGCAAUUCCCAACCACACUGCCCAAAUCAUUCUUAAAAAAAAAAAGUGCCCCAUCAGUCAUCCACCAUAAUUUCGCACCAUGGCACACUGCAAUAACCUCUUCUGCAGUGGAAGGACAAAGCCCAACACCAGCAGAAGGUAGACUGCCUAUUAGCUCAGUAUCAGCUAAAGGCAGAGAGUCCAGGGUAAAAAACCUCCACAGGCUCAAACUAACCAAGACAAAAGUGUACUACCAAUGUUUUCCUGCACUCUCCCUGCUAAAAAGAAGUAAAAUGUAUGACAGCUCGUUCCCACAGUACUACAGAGAUGGCACGAGGUGCCAAAAGACCUUGAUUUCCCUGAMACCAAGACAAAAUCAGAGAGAAUGGAUCAGACACAUACCUAUAGGUAGAGUGGAUGGAGGCUGUGGGGUCCUGGUGAUUAUUUCUGGUGGUUUGGUAGUGGUGGUGAGUGUGGAAGUGCUUGGAGAGGGUGUGCUGGUUAUAGUGGUUGGCGUGGGUGUCGGAGUGCCCGGAAUAGUCGUCGUCGUCUGCCAGAUGGUGGUGGAGGUGGUGCUGUACGGCGUUGUGCUGGUGGGAGUCUCUGAUGGCGYUGGUGUGGGAGUGGUUGUCGGCACAUGCGGAGGGACCACUGUGCUGCCUGUGGUGGUGCUUGGGGUGGCGCUUGGAAUACACUCCGGUCUGUCUGGGACACAGCAGACGCUGAUCUCGUAAUUGAGGCAGAAUGGCAUCGGUAUCACACCCCCUGUGACCUGGUCCUUAUUCUUACAAGUGAGCCCUUUGUCAACAUCGCACUCCACYUUCUGCCCUAGAUCUUCAAUGGGAAYGUGUGGGAAAUCCUUUGCUCUGCACGAAAUAUUCUCAGCCUUCACACACACCCAGGAAGGGUCAUGCUUCUGGAUGUUCUCAUAGGAUUCAUCUUCGCCACCACCUGCACCCACAGUUGGGUAACUCACAUCGAUCCAGUCAGUCCAGAUGCAGUCGCAGGAUACUACAGGCGGACAUCAACAAAACAAGCAAUUAGGA
rnacentral:lncRNA from 1 species